rnacentral:rRNA from 1 species
AGUAGGCGGGGUAACGGCCCACCAAGGCGACGAUGCGUAGGGGUUCUGAGAGGAAGGUCCCCCACACUGGUACUGAGACACGGACCAGACUCCUACGGGAGGCAGCAGUGAGGAAUAUUGGUCAAUGGGCGGGAGCCUGAACCAGCCAAGUCGCGUGAGGGAAGACGGUCCUAUGGAUUGUAAACCUCUUUAGGCGGGGAGCAAUGCCGGGCACGCGUGCCCGGAGGGAGAGUACCCGCAGAAUAAGCAUCGGCUAACUCCGUGCCAGCAGCCGCGGUAAUACGGAGGAUGCGAGCGUUAUCCGGAUUUAUUGGGUUUAAAGGGUGCGUAGGCGGAUUUUUAAGUCAGCGGUAAAAUGUCCGGGCUCAACCCGGGCCGGCCGUUGAAACUGGGGAUCUUGAGUGGGCGAGAAGUAUGCGGAAUGCGUGGUGUAGCGGUGAAAUGCAUAGAUAUCACGCAGAACUCCGAUUGCGAAGGCAGCAUACCGGCGCCCGACUGACGCUGAGGCACGAAAGCGUGGGGAUCGAACAGGAUUAGAUACCCUGGUAGUCCACGCAGUAAACGAUGAA